GCCACUGCAGGUGAAAUCAUUAUAUUUCUGGUGCAGAACCUUUAGCUGGAGACUCGGAGCUGGUAGUUUUAAGGAAAAAAAAAAGUGAUGUUGUUCACUAUAUUUUGUGAUUGUCGAGAGAUACUUCUGCUUCACUAAUGGAAUCCAGUGCAAGCUUGUUGGAGGAAUUACCUGGCAUGGGAAGAUAUGCUUCUUCUAUUUCUCUGAAGAUGACAGCAAGAUUGUUAUUACAAUGAAGUGGUAAAAUGUACAGUUCUUCAGCCCAGGUCAUUUGCAGCUAUGAAGCAUCAAUUAUAAUGAUGUCAACUGGAGAUGCCAAAGGUGUUUCUGCAGGGCCUAGAAAACUGUUCUCAGUUUCCUGCUGCCUCACUGGAACAAGAGCAAGAAGCCUUGGGGGUCCAUGACACAGGAAGGCCACUUGUGGAGCUGCUGGGUCUGCAGGGACAGCAGUGAUGGGAGCAGACACCAACACGUGUAUGGAACAUACCUGCAGAGUUCAAUGGUCAGCCACAAAUCACAUCAGCUACACACACAUGUAUUUCUUUUCUUUCUGUAAAUUGCUUUGCAUUUGCCAUCUUACAACUCCCUGUAGUUGGCUUUUGAGCUGACCAUCUCAAAGGAACUUUGGUCAAGUCACUUUUUCUCUCUUUUACAGAUAAUAUAGGAAUAGGCUACUAGCAAACCUCCUUCUGAUGGAAAACUAAGCACUUAGCUGUCUCCUUUGUUUGCUGUUAUUUUGUUCUUAAUUCAGAACUGGACUAUUCCUGUCAUGUCAGGGUUACUGAGCUGCCCUUGCAGACCUCAUGAAAAAUCUUCUUUACUACUUUCCUAAAAUCCUAAUCAUUUUGCAUUCAUACCUCGUGAAGCCUUCAACAGUGUUAAUAAACACAGAGGUGUGAGGUUGUGCCAUACCUUUACAAAGCUCCUCUCACCUCUUCUCCAGUAUAUUACAGCUACCUGUGCGUCUACUAACUGUAUUCUUUAUUACAGUUCUACUAAUUUGCCUAGCAUGCAAAUCAGACUUACAGACAACCUGCAGUCAUCCCUGGACCCAAGGGGGAGACAUCCCAGCCUCUGCCUCUGGUAACAUUUUGAGGAACAGGUAACAUACCACAUUCCUACAUGAACCAUUUCUAUUUAACGUAUUUUUGAACAUGACGGUAAAUAAUCUUAAAUCCUGGCACUCUUUACUAAGAGAGUGGAAGAUUUCUUUAAAUAACACCUCUUUAAUGGUAUCUUCAAUAUUUCUCCAAUUAAUGCCUAGUUUUUAAAAAAAGUACAGCUGAAAGAAUUUCUUUGAUCACCUUUUCCCUGAAUAGUGAUGCAGCCAAUAUAUUUAGCUUUUCAGCAAUGGCUUUUAUCUUCCCCGACUGCUCCUUUUAUACCCUGGAUCAACAGUCUGCUCCAAACAAUUCUCUUAAAACCCUCCUAAGUUCUGAUGUGAUAAAACCACUUUUUUAUGUUUUCAUAUCUCUCAUAGAAUACUCCAGUUUUAGCUUUAACUAGCACUAUUCAUUGUUGCUUGCAUGGAAACAAUCUCUACUUGGAAAGACUGAGUGUUGAAAAUUUUUAAAAUUUCUUAAAUUACUUCCUUUACAUGGCUGUGGAAUCAUGUUGACCUUUGAAGGUCGUCAAAAUUAAAUAAAAUCCUACUGCAGUGGGUUAUUUUCAACAUUUCUCUGUAAAAGAAAUUAUCUUCUUUAUCAAAUAAAUAUAUCUGCUAGAUCUUGAACACUUCAAAAUGGCGAGUCACAGCACAGUGUGGAAUGCCAUAUCCCACAUUAUGCUCAUCAUGCCAUUUA